rnacentral:rRNA from 1 species
AUUGAACGCUGGCGGCAGGCCUAACACAUGCAAGUCGAACGAGUGGCGGACGGGUGAGUAAUGUCUGGGCAACUGCCUGAUGGAGGGGGAUAACUACUGGAAACGGUAGAUAAUACCGCAUACCAUCAGAUGUGCCCAGAUGGGAUUAGCUAGUUGGUGGGGUAACGGCUCACUAAGGCGACGAUCCCUAGCUGGUCUGAGAGGAUGAUCGGCCACACUGGAACUGAGACACGGUCCAGACUCCUACGGGAGGCAGCAGUGGGGAAUCUUGCACAAUGGGCGCAAGUCUGAUCGAGCCAUGCCGCGUGUAUGAAGAAGGCCUUCGGGUUGUAAAGCACUGUCAGCGGGGAGGCGUUACCCGCAGAGAAAGCACCGGCUAACUCCGUGCCAGCAGCCGCGGUAAUAC